rnacentral:rRNA from 1 species
AUUGAACGCUGGCGGCAUGCUUUACACAUGCAAGUCGAACGGCAGCGCGGGGGCAACCCUGGCGGCGAGUGGCGAACGGGUGAGUAAUGUAUCGGAACGUAUCCUGUAAUGGGGGAUAACCAGUCGAAAGAUUGGGUAAUACCGCAUACGCACGAGAGUGGAAAGUAGGGGAUCGCAAGACCUUACGUUAUAGGAGCGGCCGAUAUCUGAUUAGCUAGUUGGUGGGUAAAGGCCUACCAAGGCGACGAUCAGUAGCUGGUCUGAGAGGAUGAUCAGCCACACUGGGACUGAGACACGGCCCAGACUCCUACGGGAGGCAGCAGUGGGGAAUUUUGGACAAUGGGCGAAAGCCUGAUCCAGCCAUGCCGCGUGCGGGAAGAAGGCCUCGG